rnacentral:rRNA from 1 species
GUAGGGAAUAUUGCGCAAUGGGCGAAAGCCUGACGCAGCGAUGCCGCGUGAGUGACGAAGGUCCUAGGAUUGUAAAGCUCUUUUCUGAGGGAAGAACAUGCCGGGUAGGAAAUGAUCUGGUUUUGACGGUACCUCAGGAAUAAGGAACGGCUAACUCCGUGCCAGCAGCCGCGGUACUACGGAGGUUCCUAGCGUUGUUCGGAAUUACUGGGCGUACAGGGAGCGCAGGCGGACAGGUCAGUUUAAAGUGGAAUCCCAGGGCUCAAACCUGGACGUGCUGUGGAUACUGCCUGUCUUGAGUUCGUGAGAGGAAAGUGGAAUUCAGGGUGUAGCGGUGAAAUGCUUAGAUAUCCUGAGGAACACCAGUGGCGAAAGCGACUUUCUGGCACGAAACUGACGCUGAGGCUCGAAAGCAUGGGUAGCGAACGGGAUUAGAAACCCUAGUAGUCC